rnacentral:rRNA from 1 species
UGGGGAAUAUUGGACAAUGGGGGCAACCCUGAUCCAGCCAUGCCGCGUGUGUGAAGAAGGCCUUUUGGUUGUAAAGCACUUUAAGCAGGGAGGAGAGGCUAAUGGUUAAUACCCAUUAGAUUAGACGUUACCUGCAGAAUAAGCACCGGCUAACUCUGUGCCAGCAGCCGCGGUAAAUACAGAGGGUGCGAGCGUUAAUCGGAAUUACUGGGCGUAAAGCGAGUGUAGGUGGCUCAUUAAGUCACAUGUGAAAUCCCCGGGCUUAACCUGGGAACUGCAUGUGAUACUGGUGGUGCUAGAAUAUGUGAGAGGGGAAGUAGAAUUCCCAGGUGUAGCGGUGAAAUGCGUAGAGAUCUGGAGGAAUACCGAUGGCGAAGGCAGCUUCCUGGCAUAAUAUUGACACUGAGAUUCGAAAGCGUGGGUAGCAAAACAGGAUUAGAUACCCUGGUAGUCCACGCCGUAAAACGAUGUCUACUAGCCGUUGGGGUCCUUGAGACUUUAGUGGCGCAGUUAACGCGAUAAGUAGACCGCCUGGGGAGUACGGCCGCAAGGUUAAAAACU